UGACCAACACUUCCAAUACUACGUUGAACAGGAGUGGUAAGAGAGGGCAUUUUUGCAUUGUGUCAGUUUUCAAGCGGAAUGCUUCCAGCUUUUGCCCAUUCAGGUAUUCAGGGAACAAA